UGUAAUGCCAAGCACGUUUUCUCUAUUGACUCUUAUUAAGGGACUUGCUCAUUACUCAUCGAAAUUAACUACAACAUAGCAACUACAAUCCUCCUAUUAGAACUUACCCUCCUACUCUGUUUUCCUAUCUCCUCUUACUUUUCCUAUUCCUUCUCUCCAAGCAUCUUCUACUUCCUUUUCCACUUCCUGUUCCUACAUCCAGGCCACAAGAGAUGAUC
rnacentral:lncRNA from 1 species